rnacentral:rRNA from 1 species
GACGAACGCUGGCGGCGUGCCUAAUACAUGCAAGUAGAACGCUGAAGGAGGAGCUUGCUUCUCCGGAUGAGUUGCGAACGGGUGAGUAACGCGUAGGUAACCUGCCUGGUAGCGGGGGAUAACUAUUGGAAACGAUAGCUAAUACCGCAUAACAGUAGAUAUUGCAUGAUAUCUGCUUGAAAGGUGCAAAUGCAUCACUACCAGAUGGACCUGCGUUGUAUUAGCUAGUUGGUGGGGUAACGGCUCACCAAGGCGACGAUACAUAGCCGACCUGAGAGGGUGAUCGGCCACACUGGGACUGAGACACGGCCCAGACUCCUACGGGAGGCAGCAGUAGGGAAUCUUCGGCAAUGGACGAAAGUCUGACCGAGCAACGCCGCGUGAGUGAAGAAGGUUUUCGGAUCGUAAAGCUCUGUUGUAAGAGAAGAACGGGUGUGAGAGUGGAAAGUUCACACUGUGACGGUAUCUGCCAGA